CCAUGCCGCGUGCGGGAAGAAGGCCUUCGGGUUGUAAACCGCUUUUGUCAGGGAGAAAUCUUUUGGGCUAAUACCUCGAGAGGAUGACGGUACCUGAAGAAUAAGCACCGGCUAACUACGUGCCAGCAGCCGCGGUAAUACGUAGGGUGCAAGCGUUAAUCGGAAUUACUGGGCGUAAAGCGUGCGCAGGCGGUUGUGCAAGACAGGUGUGAAAUCCCCGGGCUUAACCUGGGAACUGCACUUGUGACUGCACAGCUGGAGUACGGCAGAGGGGGAUGGAAUUCCGCGUGUAGCAGUGAAAUGCGUAGAUAUGCGGAGGAACACCGAUGGCGAAGGCAGUCCCCUGGGCCUGUACUGACGCUCAUGCACGAAAGCGUGGGGAGCAAACAGGAUUAGAUACCCUGGUAGUCCACGCCCUAAACGAUGUCAACUGGUUGUUGGGAAGGUUUCUUCUCAGUAACGUAGCGAACGCGUGAAGUUGACCGCCUGGGGAGUACGGCCGCAAGGUUG
rnacentral:rRNA from 1 species